GACGAACGCUGGCGGCGUGCUUAACACAUGCAAGUCGAACGGUAAGGCUCCAGCUUGCUGGGGUACACGAGUGGCGAACGGGUGAGUAACACGUGGGUGACCUGCCCUGCACUUCGGGAUAAGCCUGGGAAACUGGGUCUAAUACCGGAUAGGACUGCACCGUGAGGGUGUGGUGGAAAGUUUUUUCGGUGUGGGAUGGGCCCGCGGCCUAUCAGCUUGUUGGUGGGGUAAUGGCCUACCAAGGCGGCGACGGGUAGCCGGCCUGAGAGGGUGGACGGCCACAUUGGGACUGAGACACGGCCCAGACUCCUACGGGAGGCAGCAGUGGGGAAUAUUGCACAAUGGGCGGAAGCCUGAUGCAGCGACGCCGCGUGGGGGAUGACGGCCUUCGGGUUGUAAACUCCUUUCACCAUCGACGAAGGGUUUCUGACGGUAGAUGGAGAAGAAGCACCGGCUAACUACGUGCCGGCAGCCGCGGUAAUACGUAGGGUGCGAGCGUUGUCCGGAAUUACUGGGCGUAAAGAGCUCGUAGGUGGUUUGUCGCGUCGUCUGUGAAAUUCCGGGGCUUAACUCCGGGCGUGCAGGCGAUACGGGCAUAACUUGAGUACUGUAGGGGAGACUGGAAUUCCUGGUGUAGCGGUGAAAUGCGCAGAUAUCAGGAGGAACACCGGUGGCGAAGGCGGGUCUCUGGGCAGUAACUGACGCUGAGGAGCGAAAGCAUGGGGAGCGAACAGGAUUAGAUACCCUGGUAGUCCAUGCCGUAAACGGUGGGCGCUAGGUGUGGGUUUCCUUCCACGGGAUCCGUGCCGUAGCUAACGCAUUAAGCGCCCCGCCUGGGGAGUACGGCCGCAAGGCUAAAACUCAAAGGAAUUGACGGGGGCCCGCACAAGCGGCGGAGCAUGUGGAUUAAUUCGAUGCAACGCGAAGAACCUUACCUGGGCUUGACAUAUACAGGAUCGCGCCAGAGAUGGUGUUUCCCUUGUGGCUUGUAUACAGGUGGUGCAUGGUUGUCGUCAGCUCGUGUCGUGAGAUGUUGGGUUAAGUCCCGCAACGAGCGCAACCCUUGUCUUAUGUUGCCAGCAUUUGGUUGGGGACUCAUGAGAGACUGCCGGGGUUAACUCGGAGGAAGGUGGGGAUGACGUCAAAUCAUCAUGCCCCUUAUGUCCAGGGCUUCACACAUGCUACAAUGGUCGGUACAACGCGCUGCGACACUGUGAGGUGGAGCGAAUCGCUGAAAGCCGGCCUUAGUUCGGAUUGGGGUCUGCAACUCGACCCCAUGAAGUCGGAGUCGCUAGUAAUCGCAGAUCAGCAAUGCUGCGGUGAAUACGUUCCCGGGCCU
rnacentral:rRNA from 1 species